UAGUGGCGAACGGGUGAGUAAUGCAUAACCAACCUGCCUAUAAGGACUGGGAUAACGUUUGGAAACGAACGCUAAAACCGUGAUAGGUCAUCGGAAGGCAUCUUCUGAUGAUUAAAGGUGAGAAACACAAAUAGAUGGGGUUAUGUCGCAUUAGUUAGUUGGUGAGGUAACGGCUCACCAAGACGAUGAUGCGUAGCCGGCCUGAGAGGGUGAACGGCCACAUUGGGACUGAGACACGGCCCAAACUCCUACGGGAGGCAGCAGUAGGGAAUUUUCGGCAAUGGGCGCAAGCCUGACCGAGCAACGCCGCGUGAGUGAAGACGGCCUUCGGUUGUAAAGCUCUGUUGUAAAGGAAGAACGGCCUGGAUAGGAUCUAGGAGUGACGGUACUUUACCAGAAGCCACGGCUAACUACGUGCCAGCAGCCGCGGUAAUACGUAGGUGGCAAGCGUUAUCCGGAAUUAUUGGGGCGUAAAGGGUGCGUAGGCGGUUGAUUAAGUUUUAGGUGAAAGCGUGGGGCUCAACUCCAUACAGCCUAAGAAACUGGUCAACUAGAGUGCAGAAGAGGGUAGUGGAAUUCCAUGUGUAGCGGUAAAAUGCGUAGAUAUAUGGAGGAACACCAGUGGCGAAGGCGGCUACCUGGUCUGUAACUGACGCUCAAGCACGAAAGCGUGGGGAGCAAAUAGGAUUAGAUACCCUAGUAGUCCACGCCGUAAACGAUGGAUACUAAGUGUUGGGGAAACUCAGUGCUGCAGUUACGCAAUAAGUAUCCCGCCUGGGGAGUAUGCACGCAAGUCUGAAACUCAAAGGAAUUGACGGGGGCCCGCACAAGCGGUGGAGUAUGUGGUUUAAUUCGACGCAACGCGAAGAACCUUACCAGGUCUUGACAUACCGGACAAGUCUAUAGAGAUAUAGAGGAGGAUGAAGGAUACAGGUGGUGCAUGGUUGUCGUCAGCUCGUGUCGUGAGAUGUUGGGUUAAGUCCCGCAACGAGCGCAACCCUUUGUCUUUCAGUUACCAUCAUUAAAUUGGGGACUCUUGGAGAGACUGCCGGU
rnacentral:rRNA from 1 species